CUAAAUUUGACCAAUAUAUUCAACUUACAAGAUAGUCGGAGGAAGGCAUGACAAAUUAGUUUAUGUUAAAACCAGGUCACAUUGUUUGUAUUAACAUUUUGUUAUUAAGUACUGUAGGCAACUAUAAUGAAAAUGGCAUAUACCACUUUAACUAUAUAGGUUUCAGAACAUUUGUGAUAGCUAUCACGUCAGAAAGGUGGAAUUGGGUAUAGGGGGUAAUGAAAGGGUUGGCCCUUGGUUCUAAGUGACUC